rnacentral:rRNA from 1 species
ACUCAAAUGAAUUGACGGGGGCCCGCACAAGCGGUGGAGCAUGUGGUUUAAUUCGAUGCAACGCGAAGAACCUUACCUACCCUUGACAUCCAACGAAGACUGCAGAGAUGUGGUUGUGCCGAAAGGAACGUUGAGACAGGUGCUGCAUGGCUGUCGUCAGCUCGUGUUGUGAGAUGUUGGGUUAAGUCCCGUAACGAGCGCAACCCUUAUCUUUAGUUGCCAACACGUAAUGGUGGGGACUCUAAAGAGACUGCCGGUGAUGAACCGGAGGAAGGCGGGGACGACGUCAAGUCAUCAUGGCCUUUAUGGGUAGGGCUACACACGUGCUACAAUGGACAGUACAGAGGGCGGCCAACCCGCGAGGGGGAGCUAAUCCCAGAAAGCUGUUCGUAGUCCGGAUCGGAGUCUGCAACUCGACUCCGUGAAGUCGGAAUCGCUAGUAAUCGCGAAUCAGAAUGUCGCGGUGAAUACGUUCCCGGGCCUUGUACACACCGCCCGU